GUCGUAAGUGUAGAUUAGUGGGAAGGGAGUUGAGCUAAAAACAAGAAACGAGUUGGCGAGCAACGAGAAGCGAGUGUGUAGUUGGGUGGAAUUAAAUAGCGC